rnacentral:hammerhead_ribozyme from 1 species
AUACUUCUGAGGAGUCUCAGAUAGGACGAAACGCGCGUCUUGAAU